CAGUCGCCGCGGGAAUACGAAGGGGGCUAGCGUUGCUCGGAAUCACUGGGCGUAAAGGGUGCGUAGGCGGGUCUUUAAGUCAGGGGUGAAAUCCUGGAGCUCAACUCCAGAACUGCCUUUGAUACUGAAGAUCUUGAGUUCGGGAGAGGUGAGUGGAACUGCGAGUGUAGAGGUGAAAUUCGUAGAUAUUCGCAAGAACACCAGUGGCGAAGGCGGCUCACUGGCCCGAUACUGACGCUGAGGCACGAAAGCGUGGGGAGCAAACAGGAUUAGAUACCCGCGUAGUCCCUGUCUCUUAUAC
rnacentral:rRNA from 1 species